AGAGUUUGAUCAUGGCUCAGAUUGAACGCUGGCGGCAUGCCUUACACAUGCAAGUCGAACGGCAGCACGGACUUCGGUCUGGUGGCGAGUGGCGAACGGGUGAGUAACAUAUCGGAACAUACCCUAGAGCGGGGGAUAACGUAGCGAAAGUUACGCUAAUACCGCAUACGAUCUAAGGAUGAAAGUGGGGGAUCUUCGGACCUCAUGCUCAUGGAGUGGCCGAUAUCUGAUUAGCUAGUUGGUGAGGUAAAGGCUCACCAAGGCGACGAUCAGUAGCUGGUUUGAGAGAACGACCAGCCACACUGGAACUGAGACACGGUCCAGACUCCUACGGGAGGCAGCAGUGGGGAAUUUUGGACAAUGGGGGCAACCCUGAUCCAGCAAUGCCGCGUGAGUGAAGAAGGCCUUCGGGUUGUAAAGCUCUUUUGUCAGGGAAGAAACGGUGGGAGCGAAUAACUUCUACUAAUGACGGUACCUGAAGAAUAAGCACCGGCUAACUACGUG
rnacentral:rRNA from 1 species